rnacentral:rRNA from 1 species
GACGAACGCUGGCGGCGUGCUUAACACAUGCAAGUCGAACGGGAAGGCCCUGCUUUUGUGGGGUGCUCGAGUGGCGAACGGGUGAGUAACACGUGAGUAACCUGCCCUUGCCUUUGGGAUAACUUCAGGAAACUGGGACUAAUACCGGAUAGGAGCCCCUGCUGCAUGGUGGGGGUGGGAAAGUUUCGGGGGUUGGGGAUGGACUCGCGGCUUAUCAGCUUGUUGGUGGGGUAGUGGCUUACCAAGGCUUUGACGGGUAGCCGGCCUGAGAGGGUGACCGGCCACAUUGGGACUGAGAUACGGCCCAGACUCCUACGGGAGGCAGCAGUGGGGAAUAUUGCACAAUGGGCGGAAGCCUGAUGCAGCAACGCCGCGUGCGGGAUGACGGCCUUCGGGUUGUAAAACGCUUUCGCCUGUGACGAAGCGUGAGUGACGGUAAUGGGUAAAGAAGCACCGGCUAACUACGUG